rnacentral:rRNA from 1 species
GACGAACGCUGGCGGCGUGCUUAACACAUGCAAGUCGAACGAAAAGGCCCUGCUUUUGUGGGGUGGUCGAGUGGCGAACGGGUGAGUGACACGUGAGUAACCUGUACCUGACUUUGGGGUAUAUUCAGGAAACUGGGGCUCAUACCGGGUAGGAGCUCCUGCUGCAUGGUGGGGGUUGGAAAGUUUCGGCGGUUGGGGAUGGAAUAGCGGCUUAUCCGCUUGUUGGUGGGGUAGUGGAGUACCAAGGCUUUGAAGGGUAGCCGGCCUGAGAGGGUUACCGGCCACAUUGGGACUGAGAUACGGCCCAGACUCCUACGGGAGGCAGCAGUGGGGAAUAUUGCACAAUGGGCGGAAGCCUGAUGCAGCAACGCCGCGUGCGGGAUGACGGCCUUCGGGUUGUGAACCGCUUUCGCCUGUGACGAGGCGUGAGUGACGGUAAUGGGUAAAGAAGCACCGGCUAACUACGUG